GAUCCUGACUCAGGAUGAACGCUAGCGACAGGCUUAACACAUGCAAGUCGAGGGGCAGCACGGUGUAGCAAUACACUGGUGGCGACCGGCGCACGGGUGAGUAACACGUGUGCAACCAACCCGGUACCGGGAGAUAACCCGCGGAAACGUGGACUAACAUCCCAUAAUACUGGAGGAUCGCAUGAUCUUUCAUUUAAAAUUCCGGUGGUACGGGACGGGCACGCGCGACAUUAGGUAGUUGGCGGGGUAACGGCCC
rnacentral:rRNA from 1 species